UACAGAGGUCCCAAGCGUUGUUCGGAUUCAUUGGGCGUAAAGGGUGCGUAGGCGGCGCGGUAAGUCGGGGUGUGAAAUCUCGGAGCUUAACUCCGAAACUGCAUUCGAUACUGCCGUGCUUGAGGACUGGAGAGGAGACUGGAAUUUACGGUGUAGCGGUGAAAUGCGUAGAUAUCGUAAGGAAGACCAGUGGCGAAGGCGGGGUCUCUGGACAGUUCCUGACGCUGAGGCACGAAGGUCAGGGGAGCAAACGGG
rnacentral:rRNA from 1 species